rnacentral:tRNA from 1 species
CUGGCUGUAGCUCAACGGAUAGAGCACCUCUUUGACUCAGAGGCAGGUUGCGGGUUCGAAUCCCGCCAGCCAGACCA